AACUGGCUUUAAACCAUAGUGAAACAAGUCGAUCGUUAUUUUUAAGAGUGAGAGCGAUGACAAUAUGUUAUAGAAUGUGUUUUUGGAUAAUGGAAACCUAUAGAUUGAUGUCGAUACCAAACGAUCGAUUACAGUCUACAUUUCAUUGCACUCCUAGUUCUACUUGGAUUAAUGUUUACCUUCAUCAUUGUAGAUGUUAAGUCUGAAGAUUGCAGAGAAAAUAGAAGAUUUUUUACUCCUAGUAUUAAAAAGGCGAAACAAGUUCUUCGUAUGCAGAUUGAUCUAUUGCUGUGAAUGAAACAAAUACUGGCUGAUUAUAAAAGUAACUAGUU